CCUGGAUUAUAAACAAAUAUAAAUAAGAAAAUCCGAGACAAAAAGAUAAAUAUUAAAGAAAUUCAAUUUGUUAAAAUAAUUUAUACAAACGAGCUAAACUCCUGAUUAUAAACAAACAUAAAUAAGAAAAUCUGACACACAAAAAGAUAACUAGUUCACAAUACUUUGGAGAACUAACCAAAGCUACCAUUUCUCCUUUGGAUACAAGCGAAUUGCUCAUUUUGAAGUAAUUGUUUACAUAACAGUAUUAGCUUUUUCUGAAUUAGUUCAUAAACCAAUAAUUCAGGCCAAUUAGAUUUAUGGUGACUGAAGAACGAGGUCAUAAUCAUAAAUAUGGUACAUCUAUAGGCAAUCUCUCUUGAACAUUUGCUAUAUACAAUUAUGGCUUUAUGUAUUACACGCGUACAUCCAAAGGUUCCAUAAUCCAAGAAAAGCAACCAAAAAUAUUAUAUAAAACAUUCAGUAAUAUAUUGCUUGGGUAUGAAUAUGCUUAGACGCCAUGCAGGCAAACAAUUAUAAAAUAAUAUUUUCACCGAGUUGGCAUAAAAUUAUGAAGGAGAUUUCACCUGACCAUAGAUUGAACCACAAGGUUACGGAUGAGAAUAUUCAUUGAAGGUCGUCCAUAUGCAAUUCCAUACUGAUCCCACCCACUCUUUAUAGCAAUGCCAUCAUCCCCCACACUUAUGUAACAGUUUUCGAUUAUCAUAUCCUCACAUGAAUCAGGAUCAAUUCCAUCAGUAUUUGGGGCUUCAAAUAUGGGGGCCAAAAUUGUAACAUUCCUGAUA
rnacentral:misc_RNA from 1 species